UACGUGACCCUCGAACUACUAAUUUGAUGGCCAGAAACUACAGAUUGCUUCAAAUAUGUGUUGGCAUCUCUGGGUGGAGGAUAUCGCGCGUCAGGUGCUACAAGUAGACCAGAGGGUGAAGAAGAGUGAGAAGUACCCAGGGGAGGACUGCGAGAUGUGCUGUGCGAAUGUUUGGUUGCAGUCUUGGAAGCGAUGGUUAGGGUGAAGGAUAUCAUGGGUAAUGUGAGGUGGCAUUGGGAGAUUUGCCGAGUGGAUGUUCGGUUUGCAGUCGUGUAGGCAAUGGAUGGUUAUGUUUGAGGAUAUCGCGUGUCAGGUGCUACAAGUAACACUAGAGCGUGAAGAAGAAUGAGUAGUGGGUGCAGGAGGGCUGAGUGAUGUGCCAAGUCGAUCUGUGGUUGGAUGUUGGAGUGGAUCUGUGGUUGCAGUCGUGUAGGCGAUGGUUAGGUUGGUCGAUAUCGAGGGUCAGGGGAGAAACAAGUAGACGAGAGGGUGAAGCAGCAGCAGGGGCAGGAUAUGUGGUUGCAGUCAUGUAGGUGAUGGGAGAGUGGAGAGCAUUGUUGUCCGAGGUUUAUGUAUACGUUGGAAGUUAUCUUCUUCCUUUUCAUGCCAGUUGCAACAGUGUUCCUGUGUGUGUGAGUGACUGUUGACUGCAGGCUUUGUACUCAAGUGUUAGACAGUGCAUAUGGAUAGUUGUUGGGAGGCUAUAAAAACUAUAAAAAUUGUCUUCCUGACGUUUUGCCAUCACUUGCAACCAAGUGUGUGGGUGUGUGGCAGAGGGUAUGUGUCUUUGUGACCAAGGUUGCUGUUGGGAACAAGAGAAGCAACAUGUGGCAGAUGCUUGGAUGCACUGUCAGCAACUGUAUUAUAUGUAGCAUAGUAGCGUUAGCAAAUUAUCUAUCUUAUUGAAAUCUUUAAAAAAAAAUUAACACGUGUAGCUCCUGAUGUAUUCCAUUGUGUAUGAUUAAUCUUAAGGUGUGCCAUAUUUUAAAGAAAGCGAUUUUAAUAAAUAGAUUGCCUUGCAGCAGGUAUACAUGUGAAAUAAUGUGAAUGUUCCGCGAUAUAAAUUGAAACGAUAUGAAUAUACUGGUACGAUUGCCUCCUCGUAUAAUAUCA